rnacentral:tRNA from 1 species
GUGUAGCUCAGCUGGAUAGAGCGUCUGACUACGGAUCAGAAGGCCGGGGGUUCGAAUCCUCUCACG